GAUGAACGCUAGCGGUGUGCCUAAUGCAUGCAAGUCGAACGGGAUCCUUUGGAUUCGUCUGAAGGUGAGAGUGGCGAACGGGUGAGUAACACGUAGGUGACCUGCCCCGGAGAGGGGGACAACCACUGGAAACGGUGGCUAAUACCCCAGAUGUUAUUGCGCUUAGAAAGCAAUUACUAAAGUUCCGGCGCUCCGGGAGGGGCCUGCGGCCCAUCAGCUUGUUGGUAAGGUAAUGGCUUACCAAGGCUAAGACGGGUAGGGGGCGUGAGAGCGUGACCCCCCCACACUGGUACUGAGACACGGACCAGAUACCUGCGGGUAGCAGCAGCAAGGAAUAUUGCCCAAUGGACGAAAGUCUGAGGCAGCAACACCGCGUGGAGGAUGAAGGCCUUCGGUUGUAAACUCCUUUUCUGGGGGUAAGGAGAAAGGACGGUACCCCGAGGAAUAAGUACUCGGCUAACUACGUAGCCAGCAGCCGCGGUAAUAGUCACAUGUG
rnacentral:rRNA from 1 species